UGCAGAUGUAGGAGAGCAUCUCGGGAUGAAUAAAUUAUAGGAGCCACAAAGAAAUCACAACGACAGCGGCUGCAUGCUCUGAGUUGCUUUCAUGAAUGCCUGAAGGGAGUCUGAACUGUCUGGUACUAGGAAAAUACAUCCCUGAAGAUGAGUGAGGCAAGGCUGCAGGUGGGAAUAGCGGCCUCCUCUCCUACCCUGCAAAAAGUGUCCAGAUUGAGCCAUUUCUCAGCUGUCUGCUGGAAGGGCAUGCAGGGAAGACUUCCAGCUCCUGAAGCAGUUAGUGCUGGAUACCAUCAGAGCUGGAUCCAAACAAGUAGGUUGGCUGAGGAAGACCACUAAAAUGAUGGUGACUUUGGGCGACAUUACUGGCACGUGCCACAAGGACAGAACUCUGCAUUUUUCUGGCUGUAGAGUGACUUGAGCUCCAGGCUGGCAGCACCCCUUACUCUCCUGGUUCAGAAAUGCUGCUGACUGAGGCACCAGAGGAGGAGGUCUGCACACAGCACUGUCCACAUACCAUAAUAUACCAGCAACUAUGCUUAGUUGUGUGCUCUCUGUAGUUCAGCCACCUGCAGCAAAACGACGUUUGCAUGAGAACUUAUCCAGCCUGUUUCCUCAAAGGACAACUAGGAAGUACCAUCUUUUUGUUCUUAGCAGAUCCACUGAGCUACAGAACGUCAUUAUGAAGGUGUUUCUCUUUUCAGACCGCCUUUAAAACCCCAACUUGCAAAUUCAUACGGGAUCUUUCAUCUUCAUGGAUCGGCCCUUCCCAGACGGUCUGCCACUCAAAUGUGCCCUCCCCAGUACCUGCCUGCCCUGCCCCCUUUUCCCAAGCACUUCAAUUGAUGUCACUGAUCUUGGCUCAGCAAGUAAUCCUUCUAAUCAAUGACAAGAACAGAGGCUGCAGCUCAGCAUUGCUUAGCAGAGCUAAGAGGAGUACACAGUAAUAAAGCAUUACUUGAGCAAGUGAGCUUGAAAAUACGGCUGACCACACACAGGCAGCAGCUGUGGUGAAUGAGAUGUCAUUUUUUAAAAUAAGGACAAUAGUUUUGGUCCCUCAUGAUUAGGAGAUCAUUACAAAGCCAGCAGUGCACCUAGGAGCCUCUUUUAACCCAGCAUGACUCCAUCUGCACUGUACCAUGUCAUGGUGUCGGGGCAUGGCCCUCAAGAUGAUAAGAUGCUUUGCCUUUGUACGACGAGGAACCAGGAGACACUGAGCUUGCACAGGCUACUGCAUUGCAUUCUGUGCACUGAUGUCUGCGAACUUGCAGUGUAAAGACACAGUUGUGUUGUCUUUGUGUAGCCCUGUAGCCUCCAGGAUUGAGAUGUCAUCACAUAAUCAUUUCAGCAAUACUGUUCUCAUGGAAGAGGAGGCAAAGUGUGCCACUUAGAUUGUGGGUGGAGCUGCAUUCCUCCAAAGCACCACAUCCAGCCAAACUCCUGUGGAAAACAACUUCUUGAAUCACGCCAUGGCCAGGCACUGGCAGCACUUGCUCCCCACCAUCGUGCAGCCAGUAAAUGCCAGGAAUCCCAGGGAUAGGCAUGGGAGAGCUGGGGGUUCUCCUCAGCCUGCCCAACCCAUUGUUCCAGAAAGGAUGUCUGAGGAUUAAUUAAUUAUCCUACAAGGGGCAGUAAGUAAUAACACUCCUUGUGGAACAAUAGAAGCUAUUUGGUUGCCAUGACAACUCAGCUCCACUUGCGUGCCUUUAAUUUAUUCAUUGCACAGUCCCUUCCCU
rnacentral:lncRNA from 7 species